rnacentral:lncRNA from 1 species
AUCAUCUGUAGUCCUCGAACCCCUAACCCUGAACCUUGAACCCAAAACACGAAACCUGAAACCCCAAAACCACAAACCUCGAAACCUCGAAAAGUCUAAACCUCGAAACCUAAAACCCCUAACCUAACCCCCAAACCCAAAAACCCAAAAACCCCAAAACCCUGAAACCUAAAACUUGAAACCCCAAACAGUCUACCCAGAAACCUGAAAUCACGAACCCCAAACCGAUCCAUGCACCCUAAACCCUGAAACCUAAAACACUAAACCUUAAACCCCUAAAAACCUAAAGCCGUAAACCAUAAAUCCUAAACUUUAACCCCUAAACCAUAAACCCUAAAGUACCCCAAACCACGAACCCUGAACCCCAAACCGAAAUCCCCAAUCUCGAAACCAGAACCCUAAAAUCCUAAACACUAAACCCUAAAGUACCCUUAACCCCGAACCUCAAACCUCGAACCCUGAACACGAAACCUCAAACCCCAAAACCACAAACCUCGAAACCCAACCCCCAAACCUCCAAACAUCCAAACCUCCAAACCCCCA